rnacentral:lncRNA from 1 species
AUGAGUGGCUUUUCCAUUUCCAGGAAUAGCCCUCCUUGGCGAGGACACAGAAAACUCAUUGGUGAACCCCUGCUGGUGUGUCCGAUGGCUGGGCAUCACCGACCAGGUGGCCCAUUAGCUUCUCCCUGGGUGUAUAUGGUCUCAAAGUCUUUAGAGGAAAAGAGAAAGAAAAGGAAGGAAGAAAAGAAAGCAAAAUGUUUCGUGAUGUCCUUACAAAUCAUCUAUUACUUGUGUGUUGCUAAUUUUGUGCAAAACUGA